CUCAUAUUUUGACCCACGUCCUCUUGAAGGCCAGCUUCUCACAUGCUGUGGACCUACUCUAGGGUGGUUCUCAGGUCAAGGAAAAUAAUUUGGUCUUUCUUCUGAGAGUCAUGCUGAGGGAAGGCUCUCCAGAAAUGGACACAUGAAAUUAGUGAAACAGAAGUUAGGAUUCUAUGAGGCGGAAGAACAGUAGCCCCCAAAUAGUCAGGAAACCCAAAAAAGGAGUCUGCUGAGUCUCCACCCUCGGUCACCAGGUUGGGUCUUUGUCCAAGUUUAACCUGCAAGGCUGAAGCAGGCUCACUGACUCAUUGCAGAAAGAGACACAAGUGAGUAGAAUUUAUCAG